ensembl:lincRNA
UCAUUCCCCUCCUUAUCCCUCCUCUUCUCUCCCCUUCCCUCCCCGCCCUUCCCCUCUGCCGCAGCCCAGCUCCUAGCGCGUCAGCGUGGGCUUCCCGGAGCGAGUCGCUAGGUAACAGGGCUAGCUCCGCAGACCCGGGCCAGGGAAGCCCGCGCGCGUCGUCAGCAUCUGCGCCGAGGGGCGGGGAACGCACUGACACUCCCCUAUCGGAGCCUGCAGACCCUUCAGCUGGUUCUCAGUCCCCUCCCUGGAUGCCUUAAGGGUGGCUAUUGCCACCGCGGAGUUGCCCCUCCCCUGCGGGGACCCCGACGUCGCCGCCCCCUUCUCCUCCCACGCUGGUCCGCACCACUCUCCGCACCGCCAGCCACCCUCCGAGAUCUUCCCGCCGAGCCCAGGCGUGGGGCAUGAGGAGCCCCUGGGUGUCGCCUGCAGACAACCCAGCCUCGCGCACACCUCGCCAGUCGCUGACAGGGACAUGAACAGCAUGAUUGGGUUCCGGUGUCCGGCGGCCAGCCUCAGCCGGAGGCGGCCAGUGGGUCUGCGCUGUUUGGGAGAAUGAGGCAGGAACCCACGGCAACCUCUCUCUCCUCCUUCUCCUCGCCUUCCUCUGGCUCCCGCUCCCCGGACCCGGGCCGGGCUGUGGCUCUGCUGCGUGCCCUGCGCGCCCCCCACCUGCCUCCGGAUGCUCUUCUCGGUUAGCCUGGAGAGGAAGAUAAAGACAUUUGCAACCAAGAUGGUAAUCACGAGUGGAAACGAUGAAGACCGGGGAGGCCAAGAGAAAGAGAGCAAAGAGGAGAGCGUGUUGGCCAUGCUGGGCAUCAUCGGGACCAUCCUGAACCUGAUCGUUAUCAUCUUUGUAUACAUAUAUACCACUCUAUGAAAGGCCCCAUUCAGACCUCGGUGGCCUCAGGAUGGCCACGAGACAAGGGUCCUGUGCAUCCGUCUAUCAGCGACCACACACUGCGGGGGGACCAGCAGGUUUGAAGACCACACAAUGCUCCAUCAAUGCACCUUCGAACUUUCUGACGGGUCACCUGAUGGACCCGUCCUUCUGUGAGGAGCAGACACUCUGAAGCACAAUGAAUCCAGUGGGACUCCUUCAGGCCACAAGGAACUCCCACAGGGGACCCAGCGGGAUGCUGGAAAGGCCAGCCUUCUGCACCGGCGGUGAGCACGAGGGUGAGGAAGUGCUUCACCCUGGAGUGCUGACCACAUCUCACACUGGAAAGAGGAUGCGUGGGGUAGUCGCAGCUCCGCUGACCUCCUCCCAGGACUGGCAAGAUAAAUAAGCUCUAGGUGCGGUUCGUUGACAGGCAUUGCAUUCAUCAAAUGUUUCCAGCUGUUUGAUAUGGGAGAUAACUUAUUUUUCCUUUUUCAUUGGCUUGAUAUGUGUAUCUGUUCAUAUCGAGGUUUAUAAAUCUAUAUUUUUAAUAAAUGUGCUCUAUUUUUUAGCAUGAACCAAAUAUUUGGAGAAGCACUUCUGGACCCAUAGCUCUUCUUGGUUUUAAUCGCUUUUGCUCCAUCAGCUGCAAGACGUCUUUGUCUGUAGUCAUCCGGUUGCCUCAGCUCAUCUCAAGCCUUGUCGUACCUCAGGUUCUUCUUCCUUCCCAUCCCUGCCCCUCCCUUCUCUCCUCUCUCUUUCCCCUGUCUCUCCCUUCCAUCUCUUAAUUCCCCUAUCCUUCCCCAUCUCCCCACCCCCCAUCUCCUCUCUCCCCUCCUCCUCACCUCUUGUCUAGAGGACAUUUUCCCAUAAUACCAGCUGUGGUCUUGGCUGGUGUGUGCUUCAAGAUUGUCGAGCGGCUUUUCAUUGUUCUGUCAGAGAUAUAAACCGAUUGUGGGCAUGCAGACCUUAGAUGCACCCUGUCUUUAUUGAGAAUUAUGCAUGAACAAGGGCUGAGUGGCAGGCCAGCAUCUCCAGUUUUUAAAGGGACUACCAAGGAGGAAGAUGAGCAGCCCUGCCUGCAGGCCACCCUUGGGACAGAGCAGUCACCAGCUCAAGUGCAGUAUUGCUUAUUUGCUCCUGUAACCAUCCAAUUAUCAGAUUCUGAUUUAUUUAUUUAUUUAUUUAUUUAUUUAUUUAUUUAUUUAUUUUUGUGACCAUGAGAGAUGGAAACGGGGCGAGCUCGAUGUUCAGUGCACCAGCCGUCAUCCCUUCCUUGGUGAGCUGCCUGGGGAGGUGGAGGGUGGGAUCUCUUCAGAAGUCAGUGGGAUAUGAGGGAAGUGAGACCUCCCCGCUGUGAGAAUGCACACACAGUUCCUGCUGUAAAAACACUGCUGGGACGAGUGACCCUUCAAGGGCAUUGGGAGGGGACUUAAUGGUCUCUGUUAAGGAGCCCUGCACAUUUUAAAGCUGUUUUUCCACUCACACAAAGCUCUUUUUUUCUCUGAGGGGAUGGUUGAAUAAAUACAAAUUUGCCCUGCUCUCUGGCUCCGUAACACAGCCCCAACCUGGAUGCAGUGUACAGCUUUAAGGAGAGGGUCCGCAUUCAUUCUGCCAAGGGCAGAAGUGGCAGCAGCCCCCCCUUUGGAUUCAGAUGACACUAAGGGGGGGCAUGUCUCAGCUUGCCCCCUUCCUUAAAUGGCACCAUGAAGGAGUCAUUUCUUGGGCUUCACUAAGGGACCAGUCUCUUUUAUAAAUCAAAUACCCAUGAGCACCUGGCUCUGCCCAGAGAUGUCUCCUCUUCCCCACCAGAAGGACAGAUACCGUGUACACAAGUAACCAGGCUUUCAUAGUUGCUGGUGAGAGGGAGAGUCUUUCUCUCUCACCUGUGUGGUAGAAGGAAGAAGAAAGGACAGCUCGGACCAGGAAUCUUCCCUGAGGUUUCCUGGCACCCAGUGGAGUCAGAUUCUAGCCUCACCUGGCCAGUUCCUUAUCCCAGCGAGGACUUGGAUGCUGUUGUGGGAUGCUGAUGAGGAUAGUGACUGUGGCUGGAAAGCCUGUCGCUUUGCUGAGGAUCAACCCAGCACACACACACACACACACACACACACACACACCACACCACACCACACCACAACAGGAAACAACCUUAGAACUCCUUGGACACUGGCAGAAUUUGACACAAAUAAAAGACAGUAGAGAGGCUGGUUAGGAAGGUGGGAGGCACCCCGGGGCGAGCACUACCUACCAGGCUGUGUGAUUCUUGACAAACUGUAAUUCUGCACAGUGGACUAAACAAACAAUAAAGGUGCAGUGGGGGAAACUAUUGGUGUCGCCAACUUCCUCGUGAGCCCGUGUGUAAUUGUUUGAUUUAAUAAAACUUGACCGUGGCUGUA